rnacentral:rRNA from 1 species
CCUACGGGAGGCAGCAGUAGGGAAUCUUCCACAAUGGGCGAAAGCCUGAUGCAGCAACGCCGCGUGGGUGAAGAAGGUCUUCGGAUCGUAAAACCCUGUUGUUAGAGAAGAUAGUGCGUGAGAGUAACUGUUCACGUUUCGACGGUAUCUAACCAGAAAGCCACGUCUUACUACGUGUCAGCAGCCGCGUGAAUACGUAGGGGGCAAGCGUUAUCCGGAGUUAUUGGGUGUAAAGGGAACGCAGGCGGGCUUUUAAGUCUGAUGUGAAAGCCUUCGGCUUAACCGGAGGAGUGCAUUUGAAACUGGGAGACUUGAGUGCAGAAGAGGAGAGUGGAACUCCAGGUGUAGGGGUAAAAUGCGUAGAUAUAUAGAAGAACA